GGGCCUGUAGCUCAGGUGGCUAGAGCGCACCCCUGAUAAGGGUGAGGUCGGUGGUUCAAGUCCACCCAGGCCCACCA
rnacentral:tRNA from 3 species